UACAGAGGUCCCAAGCGUUGUUCGGAUUCACUGGGCGUAAAGGGUGCGUAGGCGGUUGGAUAAGUCUGACGUGAAAUCUCCGGGCCUAACCCGGAAACUGCGUCGGAUACUAUUCGGCUAGAGGAUUGAAAGGGAGAUUGGAAUACUUGGUGUAGCAGUGAAAUGCGUAGAUAUCAAGUGGAACACCAGUGGCGAAGGCGAAUCUCUGGGCAAUUUCUGACGCUGAGGCACGAAAGCCAGGGGAGCAAACGGG
rnacentral:rRNA from 1 species